rnacentral:tRNA from 1 species
GACCCUAUAGCUUAAUUGGAUAGAGCAGCGGUCUUCUAAACCGCAGGUUGCGUGUUCAAAUCACGCUAGGGUCACCA